rnacentral:rRNA from 1 species
GCAGUGGGGAAUCUUGCGCAAUGGGCGAAAGCCUGACGCAGCCAUGCCGCGUGGAUGAUGAAGGUCUUAGGAUUGUAAAAUCCUUUCACCGGUGAAGAUAAUGACUGUAGCCGGAGAAGAAGCCCCGGCUAACUUCGUGCCAGCAGCCGCGGUAAUACGAAGGGGGCUAGCGUUGCUCGGAAUUACUGGGCGUAAAGGGAGCGUAGGCGGACAUUUAAGUCAGGGGUGAAAUCCCAGAGCUCAACUCUGGAACUGCCUUUGAUACUGGGUGUCUUGAGUGUGAUAGAGGUAUGUGGAACUCCGAGUGUAGAGGUGAAAUUCGUAGAUAUUCGGAAGAACACCAGUGGCGAAGGCGACAUACUGGAUCAUUACUGACGCUGAGGCUCGAAAGCGUGGGGAGCAAACAGGAUUAGA